rnacentral:rRNA from 1 species
UUAACUGAAUCCAUAGGUUAAUGAGGCGAACCGGGGGAACUGAAACAUCUAAGUACCCCGAGGAAAAGAAAUCAACCGAGAUUCCCCCAGUAGCGGCGAGCGAACGGGGAGGAGCCCAGAGCCUGAAUCAGUGUGUGUGUUAGUGGAAGCGUCUGGAAAGGCGCGCGAUACAGGGUGACAGCCCCGUACACAAAAAUGCACAUACUGUGAGCUCGAUGAGUAGGGCGGGACACGUGGUAUCCUGUCUGAAUAUGGGGGGACCAUCCUCCAAGGCUAAAUACUCCUGACUGACCGAUAGUGAACCAGUACCGUGAGGGAAAGGCGAAAAGAACCCCGGCGAGGGGAGUGAAAAAGAACCUGAAACCGUGUACGUACAAGCAGUGGGAGCCUCUUAAUGGGGUGACUGCGUACCUUUUGUAUAAUGGGUCAGCGACUUAUAUUCUGUAGCAAGGUUAACCGAAUAGGGGAGCCGAAGGGAAACCGAGUCUUAACUGGGCGUUAAGUUGCAGGGUAUAGACCCGAAACCCGGUGAUCUAGCCAUGGGCAGGUUGAAGGUUGGGUAACACUAACUGGAGGACCGAACCGACUAAUGUUGAAAAAUUAGCGGAUGACUUGUGGCUGGGGGUGAAAGGCCAAUCAAACCGGGAGAUAGCUGGUUCUCCCCGAAAGCUAUUUAGGUAGCGCCUCGUGAAUUCAUCUCCGGGGGUAGAGCACUGUUUCGGCAAGGGGGUCAUCCCGACUUACCAACCCGAUGCAAACUGCGAAUACCGGAGAAUGUUAUCACGGGAGACACACGGCGGGUGCUAACGUCCGUCGUGAAGAGGGAAACAACCCAGACCGCCAGCUAAGGUCCCAAAGUCAUGGUUAAGUGGGAAACGAUGUGGGAAGGCCCAGACAGCCAGGAUGUUGGCUUAGAAGCAGCCAUCAUUUAAAGAAAGCGUAAUAGCUCACUGGUCGAGUCGGCCUGCGCGGAAGAUGUAACGGGGCUAAACCAUGCACCGAAGCUGCGGCAGCGACACUAUGUGUUGUUGGGUAGGGGAGCGUUCUGUAAGCCUGUGAAGGUGUACUGUGAGGUAUGCUGGAGGUAUCAGAAGUGCGAAUGCUGACAUAAGUAACGAUAAAGCGGGUGAAAAGCCCGCUCGCCGGAAGACCAAGGGUUCCUGUCCAACGUUAAUCGGGGCAGGGUGAGUCGACCCCUAAGGCGAGGCCGAAAGGCGUAGUCGAUGGGAAACAGGUUAAUAUUCCUGUACUUGGUGUUACUGCGAAGGGGGGACGGAGAAGGCUAUGUUGGCCGGGCGACGGUUGUCCCGGUUUAAGCGUGUAGGCUGGUUUUCCAGGCAAAUCCGGAAAAUCAAGGCUGAGGCGUGAUGACGAGGCACUACGGUGCUGAAGCGACAAAUGCCCUGCUUCCAGGAAAAGCCUCUAAGCAUCAGGUAACAUCAAAUCGUACCCCAAACCGACACAGGUGGUCAGGUAGAGAAUACCAAGGCGCUUGAGAGAACUCGGGUGAAGGAACUAGGCAAAAUGGUGCCGUAACUUCGGGAGAAGGCACGCUGAUAUGUAGGUGAAGCGACUUGCUCGUGGAGCUGAAAUCAGUCGAAGAUACCAGCUGGCUGCAACUGUUUAUUAAAAACACAGCACUGUGCAAACACGAAAGUGGACGUAUACGGUGUGACGCCUGCCCGGUGCCGGAAGGUUAAUUGAUGGGGUUAGCGGUAACGCGAAGCUCUUGAUCGAAGCCCCGGUAAACGGCGGCCGUAACUAUAACGGUCCUAAGGUAGCGAAAUUCCUUGUCGGGUAAGUUCCGACCUGCACGAAUGGCGUAAUGAUGGCCAGGCUGUCUCCACCCGAGACUCAGUGAAAUUGAACUCGCUGUGAAGAUGCAGUGUACCCGCGGCAAGACGGAAAGACCCCGUGAACCUUUACUAUAGCUUGACACUGAACAUUGAGCCUUGAUGUGUAGGAUAGGUGGGAGGCUUUGAAGUGUGGACGCCAGUCUGCAUGGAGCCGACCUUGAAAUACCACCCUUUAAUGUUUGAUGUUCUAACGUGGGCCCCUUACCGGGGUUGCGGACAGUGUCUGGUGGGUAGUUUGACUGGGGCGGUCUCCUCCUAAAGAGUAACGGAGGAGCACGAAGGUUGGCUAAUCCUGGUCGGACAUCAGGAGGUUAGUGCAAUGGCAUAAGCCAGCUUGACUGCGAGCGUGACGGCGCGAGCAGGUGCGAAAGCAGGUCAUAGUGAUCCGGUGGUUCUGAAUGGAAGGGCCAUCGCUCAACGGAUAAAAGGUACUCCGGGGAUAACAGGCUGAUACCGCCCAAGAGUUCAUAUCGACGGCGGUGUUUGGCACCUCGAUGUCGGCUCAUCACAUCCUGGGGCUGAAGUAGGUCCCAAGGGUAUGGCUGUUCGCCAUUUAAAGUGGUACGCGAGCUGGGUUUAGAACGUCGUGAGACAGUUCGGUCCCUAUCUGCCGUGGGCGCUGGAGAACUGAGGGGGGCUGCUCCUAGUACGAGAGGACCGGAGUGGACGCAUCACUGGUGUUCGGGUUGUCAUGCCAAUGGCACUGCCCGGUAGCUAAAUGCGGAAGAGAUAAGUGCUGAAAGCAUCUAAGCACGAAACUUGCCCCGAGAUGAGUUCUCCCUGACUCCUUGAGAGUCCUGAAGGAACGUUGAAGACGACGACGUUGAUAGGCCGGGUGUGUAAGCGCAGCGAUGCGUUGAGCUAACCGGUACUAAUGAACCGUGAGGCUUAACCUU